GGAUAACUUACCCUUAGGACUGGGAUAACUCUGGGAAACUGGGGAUAAUACUGGAUAUUAGGCUAUGCCUGGAAUGGUUUGCCUUUGAAAUGUUUUUUUUCGCCUAAGGAUAGGUCUGCGGCUGAUUAGGUCGUUGGUGGGGUAAUGGCCCACCAAGCCGACGAUCGGUACGGGUUGUGAGAGCAAGGGCCCGGAGAUGGAACCUGAGACAAGGUUCCAGACCCUACGGGGUGCAGCAGGCGCGAAACCUCCGCAAUGUACGAAAGUGCGACGGGGGGAUCCCAAGUGUUAUGCUUUUUUGUAUGACUUUUCAUUAGUGUAAAAAGCUUUUAGAAUAAGAGUUGGGCAAGACCGGUGCCAGCCGCCGCGGUAACACCGGCAGCUCGAGUGGUAGCUGUUUUUAUUGGGCCUAAAGCGUUCGUAGCCGGUUUGAUAAGUCUUUGGUGAAAGCUUGUAGCUUAACUAUAAGAAUUGCUGGAGAUACUAUUAGACUUGAAGUCGGGAGAGGUUAGAGGUACUACCGGGGUAGGGGUGAAAUCCUAUAAUCCUGGGAGGACCACCUGUGGCGAAGGCGUCUAACUGGAACGAUCUUGACGGUGAGUAACGAAAGCCAGGGGCGCGAACCGGAUUAGAUACCCGGGUAGUCCUGGCCGUAAACGAUGUGGACUUGGUGUUGGAAUGGCUUUGAGUUGU
rnacentral:rRNA from 1 species